UACAGAGGGUGCGAGCGUUGUCCGGAAUCACUGGGCGUAAAGGCGCGUAGGUGGCGGCCCAAGUCCGUGGUGAAAGCUCGCCGCUUAACGGCGAGUCGGCCACGGAGACUGGGUGGCUCGAGCACUGUAGGGGCAGAUGGAAUUCCGGGUGUAGCGGUGGAAUGCGUAGAGAUCCGGAAGAACACCAGUGGCGAAGGCGGUCUGCUGGGCAGUUGCUGACACUGAUGCGCGACAGCGUGGGGAGCAACAGG
rnacentral:rRNA from 1 species